rnacentral:rRNA from 1 species
UACGUAGGUGGCGAGCGUUAUCCGGAAUACUGGGCGUAAAGCGCACGCAGGCGGUCUUUUAAGUUUGACGUGAAAGCUCCCGGCUUAACUGGGAGAGGUCGUUGAAGACUGGAAGACUUGAGGCAAUGAGAGGGGUGUAGAAUUCCCGGUGUAGUGGUGGAAUGCGUAGAUAUCGGGGGGAAUACCAGUGGCGAAAGCGGCACCCUAGCGUUAGCCUGACGCUCAUGUGCGAAAGCGUGGGGAGCGAACGGG